AAUGUUAAGGGUAGAUAGACAACCAGUCAGUUAAUCAAAAGUAUGUCAGGUGAUGCUAUAUGCCAUGAGAAAAAUAAAGCAGGGAAAGAAACUAAGGAGUACCUAGGAAAAGAGGGUAAAAUUUUAAAUAGGUUAGUCAGAGAAGGUUUCAAUCUUAAUGUAAUAGAAUAUAGCAGGUGCAAUGAUGGGGAGCAUGCCUGCAAUGUGCAAAGAACAGCAGCCAAAAACAGUGUGGUCAGAGGAGAGUGAGCAUGAGGGAGAAAAAUAAAAGCUAAGAGGUAAAUGUGGGUGAGUCAAAUUGUGUUACAAUAUUUCAUCCUCCCGUACCUCUGCCUACUAGAGAUGUUUAUUGCAUAUAACCUACAAGCACAUAUUUAUUGGACAUUUUCAAGUUCUCUCUUUUGAACUGCCCCUCAAGAUGAGAGUAAAAUUUUGAAAAACAUACACCCUCAGUGAGAAUUAUUAAUGGAAAUUAAUCAAUUUUGUAUGGGGAUGCUGAGAGAAUAAGAUUCAAAGCAGGCUACUUCAAAGAAAACAGCCGGAAAUAUGCUGCCCAAAAGCUUUGGUUUGAAAUGUUAGUGAUAGGGAGGUGGAAGAUGGGAAGACAGCCCUGGACAUGGUACAUAAGAGCAGUAGAUAUCCUGGAGUAAGACACAGCAGAAGGUAGAAGAGGACACAGAACUAAAUAGGGAUAACAAGCCCAGAAAAGACAAAUCUCAACUGCUCCCAAAAUUUUUAUUAAGAUCAACCUUAACGAAAAUUUUAACUCAGAAGUUGGAAUUCACUACUGUUUUAAUUAAUUUCACAAUCCUGCAGUAAUUAUUUUCCAGAGGAAGUCUUCAGAACUCCCACAUGCUUUCUUUACUAAUAGUAAAAAUCCUGUUCUUGCUAUGUUUAAAAAUGUCUUUGGGUUUUAACAGCAAAUCCUUUUUUUGCUAAAGUCUAUAACUUGGAAAACAUUUACUUUGGGAAAGAGUCUACAAUAAAAUGGUUUGGGUCAAAAUCUUUUGUCCAGUAGAGUUCUUCUAAAUGAAAUCCAAUGAAAGUAUAUUAGUGAGUUUCACAGUUUAUCUGUGGCUUGCCAUCAGGUUUCAGGAAAAGAGCAUUCAUAUCCUUUAACUGGUUUAAUGAUACUUUCUUGUUUGAUAAUUUCAACUUCUAACAUCUUCAGAACACUGAAGUUAAAGUCAAAAUGCUUUAAACAAAAUAGGAUUAAUUCAACUCAUCCUGAGACUUAAAUAACCUUUUUCUCCUAAAACAGGAAUAUUAGUAGUCAUUUCCCAACUUCUUUCCUUAGCAUAUUAUAAACUGCAGCUUGUAAAGGACCUAUUGCUUAAAUAUCUUUAAAUUGACUUUUCUAUGAGGACUUUAUCAGGAACUUCUUUGAAAAAUUUUGUAAAUCAAAAGGUUAAGAAUUCUCACACCACUUUUAUUGGUCAGAAGAAAGUAGAAGAUGCAUCAUAUUUUCCUAAAGAGAGAACCACUUCCUAUGAAUAUUAUAGGCACUUACAUAAACAGAAUUCACCCAACUAAACCUCUCAGGAUCUUUUAAUAAAACACUUUCAUUCCACCUGAGCUAUAAAUGUGAGCCUACAAGUGUUAUAGUUGGGAAAGUGUAUCUUUGUAACUCCCAUCCCCAUCCUGCAAGCAUGUGUACACAUAUGCCUCACAUACUUUACUAGUAGAGCAUUUCAUACUUUGUUCAAACUCAGUAAUCAUUGUUUUUGUCCUUUUUACUAUCUUUUACCAAUAAUCUGGUUAAAGACUUAGAAGGCAUAUCUAUAUCUACGGAUAACAAAGCUAGAAGAGUUUGAUGAUAGGACCCAUACAGGAUUUGAUGAACCAUGAGCUAAAACUAAUAAGGUAACGUUAAAUAUGGCUGAAUGUAAAACCUGUAUUUACAUCUAAAAAAUCUAUGCAAAUUUCAGUUUCCAGUUCUACAUGUAAGGAGCUUGGAAACUGCCAUUCCAUCCUAACAACAAUUAAUAAGCUGAGCAAACUGAAAAAUCAACAACUCUUCUUGGAUCUGCAAGAGAGAGAAGGAGAGAGAGAGCAAACCAUUGCCCCCAAGAGUGGAGAGACUGAUAGGCAAAUACAAGAAGCCAUUGCAUUCUAAGGUUCCUACAACAAAAAAUAAGUAUCAGGGUGGGAAAAUCUGAACUAUAGUUGAUGAAUUCCUGGGAGCUCAAAGCAGACAACUCAGAGUUAAACACUCCAGAGGCAACCAGUCAUGGGGAAGGGGUGCCUAUAAAAUUGUGAGAUUUAUCUCCAGGAACUCUCCCAUAUUUCUAUAAUAAAUAUCAAAGAAAAAUCUCCUUGGGCUUUCAGCAAGAGUGGGUGAAAAGAACUACUCUGAAAGACACCAGUACACUGUUUCUUAACAAGGCCUGCCAUCAGGAAAAAAUAGUUAAUCAGAGCCUAAUAUGUUGAUGUUGAGGUGUUUUCAGAGUCUAACUGGCCUGGGGAAGUGAAAUAUCCAAUUCCAGCCCACUUUAGCCAUUCUGUCCUACCUAAGCAUGGUUAAAAAACUGAGAAACACUCCUGAAGUUCACAGUCUAGAGGCACAGGUUCACUAAAAACCUGAGACUAAUCACAGGACUAGAGAACACUUCCCCUCUCCUCACACUUCACUACUAAUUACUAUUAAAGGCCUAUUUAAGGCAGUUCCUCUUAGCUACUGUAUCAUAUUAUUAGCUAUCAAAAAAAAUUACAAGUCAUACCAAAAGGCAAAAACUACAAUUUGAAGAGACAAAGCAAGCAUCAGAACCAAAAUUUAAUGAUGCUAAAAACAUCACAGUCCUAAAUGUAAAAUGUAAAACUAUAAAACUCCUGGAAAAUAACAUAGGAGAAAAAUCUAGAUGACCCAGGGAAUAGGUCUUUAAGAUACAACACCAAAGACAAGAUUCAUGAAAAAAAUUGAUAAGCAGGAAUUUAUUAAAAUUAAAAAAUUCUGCUCUGUAAAAAACAGUAUCAACAGAAUUAGAAGACAAGCCACAGGCUGAGAGAAAAUAUUUGCAAGAUAUAUCUGAUUGAAAAAACUAUUAUCCAAUAUAUACACAGAUCUCUUAAAACUCAAUAAUUAGAAAAAAAGGAACCUGAUUUAAAAAUGGGACAAAAACUUUAAUAGACACCUCAGCAAAGAAGAUAUACAAAUGUCAAAUAAGCAUAAAAAAGAAGCUCCACAUCAUAAGUUACCAGGAAAAUGCAACUUCAAACAAUGAGAUACUACUACAUACCUAUUAGAAUGGGCAAAAUGCAGAAUACUGACAACCCCAAAUGCUAGCAAAUAUGUGAUACAACAAGAACUCUCAUUCACUGCUGGUGGGAAUGCAAAAUGGUAGAGCCACUUUGGAAGAAAGUUUGGCUUCUUACAAAACUAAACAUACUCUUAUCCUAUGACCCAGCAAUCAUGUUCCUUGGUAUUUUCCCAAAGGAAUGGAAAACAGGUCCACACAAAAACCUACACAUAGAUGUUUACAGAAGUUUUAUUCAUAAUUCCCAAAACAUGGAAGCAACCAAGAUGUCUUAUAGUAGGUGAAUGAAUAAAUAAACUAUGGUAUAUACAGACAAGGAAAUAUUAUUUAGUGCUAAAAAGAAAUAAGAUGUUAACCCAUGAAAAGACAUGGAGGAAAUUCACAUGCCUAUUACUAAGUAAUAGAAAUCAAUCUGAGAAGGCUAUAUACUGUACAAUUCCAACCAUAUGACAUUCUGGAAGACACAAAACUAUACAGACAAUAAAAAAAAAUCAGGGUUUUGGCGUGGGGGGAUUUGGGAAAAGGAGAUGAAAAGACAAGGCACAAAGGAGUUUUAGGGUGGUGAAAACACUGUGAUGAUAUCUUAAUCAUAGAUAUAUACCAUUAUACAUUUGUCCAAAUCCACGGAUGCACAACACCAAGAGUGAACCUUAAUGUAAACCAGGGACUUUGGGUGAUUAUGAUGUGUCAAUGCAGGUUCCCCCUUAGCAAAAAAUGUCCCAUUUUUUCUUUCAUCAUCUGGUGAAUUAUGUUGGAAGGUAAGGUUAUACAGGUGUAGAAGCAGGAAGUAUAUGGGAAAUAUUUGUACCUCCCACUCAAUUUUAUUAUAAACCUAAAACUGCUCUAAAAAUUUGUCUUUAAAAAGAAUCAACUGGGGUGCCUGGGUGGCUCAGUGGUUGAGUGUCUGCCUUUGG
rnacentral:lncRNA from 1 species